AACGAACGCUGGCGGCAUGCCUAACACAUGCAAGUCGAACGAGACCUUCGGGUCUAGUGGCGCACGGGUGCGUAACGCGUGGGAACCUGCCCUUAGGUUCGGAAUAACUCCCCGAAAGGGGUGCUAAUACCGGAUAAUGUCUUCGGACCAAAGAUUUAUCGCCUUUGGAUGGGCCCGCGUUGGAUUAGCUAGUUGGUAGGGUAAAAGCCUACCAAGGCGACGAUCCAUAGCUGGUCUGAGAGGAUGAUCAGCCACACUGGGACUGAGACACGGCCCAGACUCCUACGGGAGGCAGCAGUGGGGAAUAUUGGACAGUGGGCGAAAGCCUGAUCCAGCAAUGCCGCGUGAGUGAUGAAGGCCGUAGGGUUGUAAAGCUCUUUUACCCGGGAUGAUAAUGACAGUACCGGGAGAAUAAGCUCCGGCUAACUCCGUG
rnacentral:rRNA from 1 species